UAAUGUAUGGGGGUCUGCCCGAUAGAGGGGAAUAACUACUGGAAACGGUGGCUAAUACCGCAUAAUGUCUACGGACCAAAGCAGGGGCUCUUCGGACCUUGCACUAUCGGAUGAACCCAUAUGGGAUUAGCUAGUAGGUGGGGUAAAGGCUCACCUAGGCGACGAUCUCUAGCUGGUCUGAGAGGAUGAUCAGCCACACUGGGACUGAGACACGGCCCAG
rnacentral:rRNA from 1 species